CUCAGAGUUCUGGGGUUUUUUCUACACUGAUCUGGCCUCUAUGGCAGACUGGCCAGACGCAAAUCUCUCCUUACUGCAAGAGACAUGAAAGGCCACCUGCAACUUGAAGAAAAAAGAAAAGUCUCAUUUAAAGGUCUUUUAGACUGUGAGAAACAAGAUUCUCUUGUAUAAUAAAAAGAGCUUUAAACAGUUUGGCCUUUCUUUAAAGAGUCAUGUAUGG